GAUAAAACAUAUAAUUCAUAGUGGGGCCCACAGAGCACCGACCACUAGCCACCGGGCUAGUGGCAGCGACACAAGCCAAGUCUCUCGCGCGCUCUGCAAUCUCAGGUCAGUCUCUCUAAUCAAAGCAAAAGAAAACUCGCGGGGCGAUUUAGGAGUCCUAAAACUCGCCGAUUAUUUCCGCCUGAGACUGGAAAAUCGCGCGCAAGGAAAGUUUGUGAGGUACUUGCAACAAAAUCCCGAAACUGAGUAUUGCUGGUACUGCAGUCGCAUCGCUAUGCUGAAGAACUGUUUGCUACAUGGAAGUUGAUCUCACAGAAAAGUAAUUUCUCCAUGCCUCAAGUAGGUACCUCAGUUUUUUAUAUGCUUGCUUGCUUGUCUUCUUUUAGGAGAAGCUAAAAUCUUGCCUAAUCACAUUGAGAGUAGGAGUUCAAAUGGGCGCCAAAACAUCUAACUUUAUUGGUUACAUGUAACACGUGUAUAGUCAUUAGGACCAAUAAUUUUUAGUUCUCUUUCAUUGAGGUGGGCCUAAUGGGUUUUAUUAGAGUGCGCAACGGAAUCAAACCCUUCUCCAGUGAAUCAAACUCAACUUGUCCGUCAAAGACCACCUGUAUACGAUCAUGUCAAAUUUCAACGGAAUCUAAAUAAGAAGGGCUUAGAUCA